CCCACCCCCUUAACUUUAAAACCCAAUGUCAAUUAAUAAGUCCAUGAUCAUCCCCCAUUAACCCCAAGACACAUAAUAGUCAAAAAAAUCAAGUUCACACCAAUCUAAUUCUAAUAGACUUUCAUCACUCAUGGAUGUAUAGGUCAUAUUUAGCAGCACCCAACACCUGUUGUAUUUUCACAUUGACGAUUCUUGAAAAGAGGAUAAGCUUGUCCAUAAUGACAGGGAGUUAACACCAUAAAUAAAGCAUUAGACAAAAGUCAUGAAGUCAAUGUACAACCAAU
rnacentral:lncRNA from 1 species